UAGUCCACGCCGUAAACGAUGAGUACUAGCUAUUGCGGGUAUGACCCCUGCAGUGGCGCAGCUAACGCAUUAAGUACUCCGCCUGGGAAGUACGGUCGCAAGACUAAAACUCAAAGGAAUUGACGGGGGCCCGCACAAGCGGUGGAUUAUGUGGUUUAAUUCGAAGCAACGCGCAGAACCUUACCUAGGCUUGAAAUCCUACGAAUCUGGAGUAAUUUCCGGAGUGCUCGCAAGAGAAUGUAGUGACAGGUGCUGCAUGGCUGUCGUCAGCUCGUGUUGUGAAAUGUUGGGUUAAGUCUCGCAACGAGCGCAACCCCUAUCUUUAGUUGCCAGCAUUAAGUUGGGCACUCUAGAGAGACUGCCUGGGUUAACCAGGAGGAAGGUGGGGAUGACGUCAAGUCCUCAUGGCCCUUAUGCCUAGGGCUACACACGUAAUACAAUGGCACAAACAAUGGGAAGCGACCUGGCAACAGUGAGCAAAUCUCAAAAUUGU
rnacentral:rRNA from 1 species